UAGCCUGCCUUCUGCCAGCCUGCAGAAGCUUGUGAAAGAGAUUAAAGAUGAAUAUGUCGUAUGAAAUUGUUACUACUCUGACUUGUACUGAGUUUUCAGUGGUUGGACCUUGACAGAUUUAAAAACAAGAUUUAUGCAAACAGACCAGAUAUUUUUAAGUCUUCACUUCUUCUGAAGAAAACCUGAAAAGAUGAUUUCUGUUCCCUCCGCAAUGACUCAAAAUUAAUUUGAACUGAUUCCCCAAAUAUAUUUUUCUCUGUCAGUUCAGACUCCUCCUCUCUUAAUUCUUAUCUGGCAGCAAAAUGUACCUUCUCUUUCUUACCUAAUUCUAUGAGGAAGACUGGAAUGCACAGUCAAAGCAUAAUGAGCAGGAUUUCUUUGAAUUUCUCUCUUCAGAAAGAUUUAUAGUUUGGUACUCUUCCUCUCAGAGACCAGCUGAAUUUGCCUUUUCCUACACCAUACAUAUUCUUUUGCACUUAU